UUAUUUUAGCUAUUUAUUAAACAGUGGUGAUUACAUUCCAUCAUUAUGUUAAUUGCAUUCAUAAAAGUGAUCUAAAAAGUGACGGCUUUCCUCAAAGUCAAUUGCAACAGUCGUUAUUUCUGUUGAAAAAUAAAUUCAUAAAUCUGUUGUAUCGCUAAAAAAAAAAAAAAUGUGCAUUUCCACAAAUGAUGGUUAGGGCACAAAAAGAGCAACGGAUUAAAAAAAUAAAAAUCCAACAGAUUUAAUGAAUUGAACCAAAAACUUGACAAAAAAUAACUGUAAAAGUGUAGGUGACACUUAGCUAAAUCUCAACCUAUAACUGGCCAUAAGUCAGGAGGUUUGCAAAGGAUUAUGGGUAUUUGGGGGACACCAGAAGCCGCCCUCACCUAGUUCUGUGUCCAUCUAUCCAAGUAGUAAAAGCAGAAAUGUAAAUUAGAUCUCAAAAUCUCAUCCAAACCACGACUUGGAAAAAGCACAUAUGUAUCAGUCCAGGCCUAAAAUAAUAUUUUAAAGAUAUGUUUUUUGUAAACUAUUCAUUUUUAGACGUGGUCGGUGGUGAUUGCACCACAUUUACUGCGCCCCAGUCUCUCCCAAUGCCAACAUUCGGCCCAGCUCCUCUCCUGCCGCAGAUCAUUCCAUUCAGACAAUCAACAUGCAGACAAAAUGAAACAAGAUAAAUAAAAAGCAAGCCAGCGGCACGCUCAGGAAAGUCAGAGGGAUGAGAACAGAUAUAUAUUUCUAUUCUUCAUUCGGCAUUCUAUUCCGCGCUUCCUAUUCAUGUGUCUAGAGAAGGAUGAUCGAUGGGCGCCCUAUAAUAAAUAGAGACAUAAUAUUCUGCCAGAUUGUCUGUGAAACUACAACUUUUUAAUUAUUUAUAGCCAUAAAGAUCAGAAUAAAAACAUGUAUGUAUAAUGUUCUUUUUAAUUUAAACCUCUUUUUCCCUCUAUAAUGUUUAUUUAUAACAAUUCCACAUUCUCAACAAUGACAUCCACUUUUAAACAACCUUAUAAAUUUUGUAUACAGCCUAUAAAAAAAGAAAUCACAUUAAAUAUUCGAAAACACCAUGUACCCUCGCUGAGACACAUCUACUGUGCGUAAAUGAAUGAAAACACAAAGUAUUACAAAAAUAAAAAAACGAGAAGAUUGAUUUCUUUGUAAGAGAUGGAUGCAAACGUCUUAGUAUUUGUUAGAGUGUGUUUAGCCUUUUUAAAACCCAUCUAGUAACGGUUCUGUUAGAAAUGGAAUUCUCAAUGUGGGCUGAUUUUGUGUUUGGACCUAGAGUAGAACGUAAAGGUGUGAACUCAAUUCACUGCGGAUUUUGACUUCCCUAUUGAGUUCUGCUGAUUCCAAAGCCGUUUCUUCCAAAGCGAUUAGAUUUUACAAUUUACCUGUUGUUUUUGGAACAUUCACAUUAACAGA